rnacentral:rRNA from 1 species
GUGGGGAAUAUUGCGCAAUGGGGGAAACCCUGACGCAGCAACGCCGCGUGAAGGAAGAAGGUCUUCGGAUCGUAAACUUUUGUCUUCUGGGACGAAGAAUGACGGUACCAGAGGAGGAAGCCACGGCUAACUACGUGCCAGCAGCCGCGGUAAUACGUAGGUGGCGAGCGUUGUCCGGAAUUACUGGGUGUAAAGGGCGCGUAGGCGGGACUGCAAGUCAGAUGUGAAAUACCGGGGCUUAACCCCGGGGCUGCAUUUGAAACUGUAGUUCUUGAGUGCAGGAGAGGGAAGCGGAAUUCCUAGUGUAGCGGUGAAAUGCGUAGAUAUUAGGAGGAACACCAGUGGCGAAGGCGGCUUUCUGGACUGUAACUGACGCUGAGGCGCGAAAGCGUGGGGAGCAAACAGGAUUAGAAACCCUAGUAGUCC